UGUGUCUAUGUUUUCCAGGUGUGUCCAGGUGUGUCCAUGUUUUACAGGUGUGUCCAGGUGUGUCCAUGUUUACAGGUGUAUCUAUGUUUUACAGGUGUGUCCAUGUUUUACAGGUGUGUCCAGGUGUGUCCAUGUUUACAGGUGUGUCCAGGUGUGUCCAUACUUUACAGGUAUGUCCAGGUGUGUCCAUAUUUUACAGGUGUGUCCAGGUGUGUCCAUGUUUUACAGGUAUGUCCAUAUUUUACAGGUGUGUCCAGGUGUGUCCCACUCAGAGCCUCAGCAGCAGUCUGACAUUACGUCUUCAUGUUAAACAUCAAUAAACCCUGUACCAGUAAUGCUCCUCGGAGUGGGCGGGCUCACAGAAGAAGCGAGAGCUGCGUUUGGCCGAUCGGGCCGUGAAGGGGACGGUCUUCAGAGCUGCAGCACCGGGGGACCUACGUGUUGAUGGCACGGCAGAUGACCUCUGAACCCUGGCCGGCCUUCCUCAGAGUGAUGGCCAGGUUUUUGGACCGGUUGGCAUCCAGCAGAGACACUUUGGACGGAGCUUUCUGAGGGAGUUUCUGUCGGGACAGAGUCAGGUCCACCGCCGGACCCUGAGCCUUUGUCUUAAACAUCUCCUCAAACUCCUCCACGUUCAGAUCCUGAGAGACAGACAGGAUUGCCUCGUCGUCGAUGUCGUUAAAGACGGUCCCGUUGAUCUGACUCGGCUUCAGAGCGACCCAGUUCAACACCGGCAUCCGGAACUUCGUCUGGAUCGGCUUCUUUAUCUUCACCGCUGCACAGAGAGACAGAGAGGUAAGCAGGGAGACAGGUGGGCAGGGACACAGGUGAACAGGGAGACAGGUGAGCAGGGAGAGAGGUGAUCAGGGAGACAGACAGGUGGGCAGGGACACAGGUGGGCAGGGAGACAGGUAAGCAUGGACACAGGUGAGCAGGG